rnacentral:lncRNA from 1 species
UUCUCAUCUACUCUUAUUAUCCAUAAAUUUGGUUUUCUCAUUGUGUACUAGAUUUCCUGGAUGUUUUGAUAGGAUCUUUUUGUAUUUUGCAUUUUCUUUGAUUGUUGUGCCCAUGUUCUCUAUAGAAUCUUCUGCACCUGACAUUCUCUCUUCCAUCUCUUGUAUUCUGUUGCUGAAUCUUGCAUCUAUAGUUCCAGAUUGCUUUCUUAGGGUUUCUAUCUCCAGUGUUGUCUCACUUUGGGUUUUCUUUAUUGUUUCUACUUCCCUUUUUAGUUCUUGGAUGGUUGUGUUCAAUUCCAUCACCUGUUUGGUUGUGUUUUCCUGUAUUUCUUUAAGGACUUCUACCUCUUUAGUGUGUUCUCCUGUAUUUCUUUGAGUUAUUAUAUGAGAUGUGCUUUUAAAUCCAGGUCUAGCUUUUCGGGUGUGUUGGGGUGCCCUGGACUGGCUGAGGUGGGAGUGCUGGCUUCUGAUGAUGGUGAGUGGUCUUGGAUUUUGUUAGUAAGAUUCUUGCAUUUGCCUUUUGCCAUCUGGUAAUCUCAGGAGUUAGUUGUUAUAGUUAUCUCUGGUUGGAGCUUGUUCCUCUCGUGAUUCUGUUAGCCUCUAUCAGGAGUCUAGCUCUCGCCUGAGUUUCAGUGGUCAGAGUACCCUCUGCAGGCAAGCUCUCCUCUUGCAGGGAAGGUGCACAGAUAUCUGGCGUUCAGACCUGCCUCCUGGCUGAAGAUGAAGUCCUGAAACAGGGCCUGUCCCAGAAGAUGUGCUGCCUCUGCAGUCUGCAUGCUCACCUGCACAGACUGGUCUCCAAGGGACACAGGACACAAGAUGGCUCUCUCACCUGCUCUGGUGGUCAGAGCCCUCCCAGGCACAUCUCUCCCUUGGCGGGGAACUUGCCUGGAUAUCUGGAGCCCGAAACAGGGUCUGUCCCAGAAGGUGUUUUGCUUCUACCUGUCCCAGAAGCUGUGUAGCUUCUGUAGUCUGCACACUCACCAGUGCAGACUAGUCUCUGAGGGACCCGGGACGCAAGAUGGCUCCCUCACCUGCUCUGGCAGAGCCUUCCCGGGUGGACACCUCUCCUCUUGGGAAGGUGCCCGGGUAUCUGGAGCCGGAAAUGGGGUCUGUCCCAGAGGCUGUGUUGCUUCUGCCUGUCCCAGAAGCUGUGUCGCUUCUGCAGUCCGCUUGCUCAUCCUUAGCAGUCAGUGAACUGACCUGUGCAGACUCAUCUCUGAGAGAUCUGGGACCCCAGAUGCCCUCCUUUUAUGUUAUGAAGGUAGAUAAAGUUGCAAAAAUAUAAACAGCCUUUCUCAUAAAAUUUGUUGCCUAAUGCUAUAGUAGUUAUUUUGAUUAAAAAUAUGUAUUUGCUUAAUACGUUUAAGUUAAGUUGGGAAGUAUUUAAGAGUAUUCUAAGUUUUAAUUCAUGUGAUACAUUUCUAAAAGUAUGACUCUUAAAUUUUUUGGCAUUCACAAUAAUUUUUAAAGGAUUUUAAAGAGUCUUAAGACCAAGUGUAAUUAAUUCCUUAAGUGAUUUUUGAGGAGAGAUAAUUAUCUAUUCAGUAAACUUUUACUGUGCAUUCAUGAUGCUUUCUGAUAGCAUGUAAGCUAUUUUAUUUGUUACAUAAAAUUUUAUUUUCUCAUAAAAACAUUUAUUAUGCUUUUAUCUUAGCUAGAAAAUAAGUAAUCUAAUG